CCAAUCGUAUUACCUUGGCUACUUCCUUUCUUAUCUGAUCACCGAAGUUUAGUUAUGUCGGGCCUUUUAGUACUUUCCGGGAAUACCGGGUGUUAUGACG
rnacentral:rRNA from 1 species